AAAGUCGUAACAAGGUUUCCGUAGGUGAACCUGCGGAAGGAUCAUUCAUAAUAAGUGUUUUAUGGCACUUUUUAAAAUCCAUAUCCACCUUGUGUGCAAUGUCAAAAAAGGAGAAUCAACUGGUUUGGAGAGAGAGAGAAAUCUCUUUUUUUCAUCCGAGUUUUUGCUCUUUUUUUUCAUAACAAACUCAUUAUUUUUUAAACAUAUCGUCUGAAAACUAUUAUGAAUACUUAAUUCAAAAUAUAACUUUCAACAACGGAUCUCUUGGCUCUC
rnacentral:misc_RNA from 1 species